rnacentral:rRNA from 1 species
CCUACGGGGGGCUGCAGGGAGGAAUAUUGGGCAAUGGGCGCGAGCCUGAACAAGCAAAGUAGCGGGAAGGAUGACAGCCCGACGGGUGGUAAACUUCGUUUAUAAAGGAAUAAAGUGAGGCACGUGUGCCUUCUUGUAUGUACGUUAUGAAUAAGGAUCGGCUAACUCCGUGCCCGCAGCCGCGGUAAUCCGGAGGAGCCGAGCGUUAUCCGGAUUUGUUGGGUUUAAAGGGAGCGUAGGUGUGUUGUUAAGUCAGUUGUGAAAGUUUGCGGCUCAACCGUAAAAUUGCAAUUGAUACUGGCAGUCUUGAGUACAGUUGAGGUAGGCGGAAUUCCUUUUGUAGCGGUGAAAUGCGUAGAUAUCAGGAAGAACACCAGUGGCGAAGGCGGCUGACUGGACGGCAACUGACGGUGAGGCGCGAAAGCGUGGGGAGCAAACAGGAUUAGAUACCCGAGUAGUC